UAUAUCUCCUUAAAAGGAGAUGACAUGAAGACGUCACUGGUCACUGCAGGAGCUGUACAUAGAUGCUGUUCUUGUUACAUUAUUUUUUUAAUGUUUCCACAGUUGCUCUCGGUGUUGGAGGCUGAGGUUGCUGGUUUUCAGUUGCUACAAACCACACUAGUUCUCUAUUUAGGGCUUCAUUUGCUGCCUUUGCCUUUGUCCCCUCAGCUUAUUAUUUAAUAAUUUUCCAUUGAAAUGUAUCUCGACUUUGUCACCAUACAGUGAUCACUGUAAAACACUUGUAUAAAUUAUCUGUUGGGUUCCACGGUGUUCAGAGAGAACAGUAGACUUGUGUCUUGGUGUCUGAAUGGGCUUGUAGGUCUGCACUUAGUUUUCCGUUACUGAAUGAACACUUUUGAAGGUACAUAUGCAUACAUGCAUUCUCACACAUACAGUAACUUGUAAAUUGCAUUAUAUAUGUACAUUUUGUGUCCAUUCAGCUGUGUUGGCUGUGGUGAAUUUGACCUUUUAUUAAAGAAGCUCUUGAUUAA